AAGGUAGCUUUACUGGAAAGUGUAACUUGAUUACCUUCUCUUUAAGGUGAAGACGAAUUAAAACCAAUUUUAUUGACUUUUUUGUAUUUUUAUUUUGAUUAAAAAGUUUUUAUAUUAUUAAAUAUGUAUCUUAAAUCCAAUACAGCGGCAAUUGAGUAUUUUUAAAAUUGAGAUUAUGUUGUAAUAUAUUAUAAAUAUGCUUUAAUAUAUAAAUCGACCUAAUGUUUUUUUAUUCUUAUU
rnacentral:misc_RNA from 1 species